rnacentral:rRNA from 1 species
AUUCCGGAUAACGCAUAUUUGCUGGAAUGCUUUAUGCGUCAAAAGGAUUCGUCUGCCCAAGGAUGGGUCUGCGGCCUAUCAGGUAGUAGUGGGUGUAAUGUACCUACUAGCCAGCGACGGGUACGGGUUGUGAGAGCAAGAGCCCGGAGAUGGAUUCUGAGACAUGAAUCCAGGCCCUACGGGGCGCAGCAGGCGCGAAAACUUUACAAUGCGGGAAACCGUGAUAAGGGGACACCGAGUGCCAGCAUCAUAUGCUGGCUGUCCGGAUGUGUAAAAUACAUCCGUUAGCAAGGGCCGGGCAAGACCGGUGCCAGCCGCCGCGGUAACACCGGCGGCCCGAGUGGUGAUCGUGAUUAUUGGGUCUAAAGGGUCCGUAGCCGGUUUGGUCAGUCCUCCGGGAAAUCUGAUAGCUCAACUAUUAGGCUUUCGGGGGAUACUGCCAGACUUGGAACCGGGAGAGGUAAGAGGUACUACAGGGGUAGGAGUGAAAUCUUGUAAUCCCUGUGGGACCACCUGUGGCGAAGGCGUCUUACCAGAACGGGUUCGACGGUGAGGGACGAAAGCUGGGGGCACGAACCGGAUUAGAUACCCGGGUAGUCCCAGCCGUAAACGAUGCUCGCUAGGUGUCAGGCAUGGCGCGACCGUGUCUGGUGCCGCAGGGAAGCCGUGAAGCGAGCCACCUGGGAAGUACGGCCGCAAGGCUGAAACUUAAAGGAAUUGGCGGGGGAGCACAACAACGGGUGGAGCCUGCGGUUUAAUUGGACUCAACGCCGGACAACUCACCGGGGGCGACAGCAAUAUGUAGGCCAAGCUGAAGACUUUGCCUGAAUCGCUGAGAGGAGGUGCAUGGCCGUCGCCAGUUCGUACUGUGAAGCAUCCUGUUAAGUCAGGCAACGAGCGAGACCCGUGCCCACUGUUACCAGCAUGUCCUCCGGGACGAUGGGUACUCUGUGGGGACCGCCGAUGUUAAAUCGGAGGAAGGUGCGGGCCACGGUAGGUCAGUAUGCCCCGAAUCUCCCGGGCUACACGCGGGCUACAAUGGAUGGGACAAUGGGUCCCUCCCCUGAAAAGGGCUGGUAAUCUCACAAACCCAUUCGUAGUUCGGAUCGAGGGCUGUAACUCGCCCUCG